rnacentral:lncRNA from 10 species
UUCUCAAUCUGCAUUUUAUUUUAUGGUCCACAAGAGAUAUUUAUUUGAUACAAUAAUACAGUUAGUGUUCCAUCCAACAACUAGAACAAAAGGAAUAAAACUUUGUAUAUAUACAUAAAAACUCAAGAUAUUUAAUGUGACAAGUAUAUAUAUUUAAAAUAAUGCUCUUAAAAUUCCUUAGUUAUUGAAAAUAUAAAAACAAAAAGAUGUUCAUAGAAACAGAAUGCAUGAAACCAAAUAUCAAAGUUUGAGCAAAUUAAUAUGUGAGGCAACUUAGCUAACAAUGCAUGAUUUUCUUGUUUACAAUCUACUAAAAAUAUCUUUAUAUCAACUGAGUGGCAAAAUAGGUUUAAUAAACUCAGACACCUACCGACAGAGUAUUACUUUCUUUUGAGCUGGUAGUGACCACAGAAAUGUCAGAUCAUUUCUCUGAAUGAAGCAUUUUAUUCAAGUAACACAAAACUUCCAGACAUAUUUUCAUAAUAUAUUUAAUCAUUUCUUCAUGUGAUAUUUAUAGAUAAUUUGAAUUUUCUGGUGUAGUUACGUGGAUAUAUUGUGUAGUAGUGAAGUCUGAGCUUUUAGUGUAACCAUCACCUGGAUAAUGUACAUUGUACCCACUAGGUAAUUUUUCUUCCCUCAGGAUCCUCCCUCCUCCCACCCUUGAGAGUCUCCAAUGUCUAUUACUCCACAACCUGUCCACGUGUACACAUAUUUAGCUCCCAACUAUGAGAACAUGUGAUAUUUCACUGUUUCUGAGUUAUUGCACUUACGUAUUAUGUAAUAUAUAACACACUUCAUACAUGUAACAUACAUGGAAGGUGUUGAAACAAAGUAAAAUCAUGACCCCCUACCCCAUUUACCUAAAUAUUACCUACCCUAUAUACCAAAGUACCUGUGCAGUCCUCUAAUAUCUUCUCUUACCUCCUUAUCACCAAUUAUUCUGAAAUAUGUUUCUCUUUUUAAAUUUAUUUUUAAUUCACAAAUAAAAAUUCUCUAUAUUUAUCAUAUACAAAACAAUGUUUUGAAGUAUGUGUACAUUGUAGAAUGGCUAAAUCCAGCUAACAUAUACAUAACAAUGCAUGUGUUUCUCAUUCUUAAUGUUAAUAUUCAGGUCCAUAUCCAUUAUUAAAAAACCUCAGGACCAGAUGUAUUUCAGAUUCAGAUUGUUUUUAUCAAUUUCAGAAAGAUUAUAUAGGGCAUAUCUUAUAUAUUAUGAUUAUUCCCAACAGAGUCUAGAGAGAAUUCAGUAGUCAAACUCAUCAAUAUAUCCCAGGGCACAAUGGGUGAACAUUUACAUCUGCUAUAAAUAAACACUAUGAAUAGCCUUAUGUUGUCUGUUUUUGCCACCAAACGAGGUUGCAUAUAAAAACAAACUUUCACAUCUCAUGGCCUUAUGGAUUUUGGAAUUCCAGCUAAAGAGCUUAGAUCUGCUGUUUAACUUAUCAAACUUUUCUCAUUUAGUUAAUCCUUUAUGUAUUUUGUUUAAGAAACCUUUCUACUCUGAAAUAAUAAAGGUAUUCAUUUAAAUUUUUUUCUUACUUGUAAAGUUUUAUCUUUCCUAAUAUAUUUAAUUUAUCCAGAAAUCUUUUUUGUAUAUAAGAAUGAAUUCUAUUUUCUUUUCUCCUCUAUGGAUAAAUAACUAUCACUGUAAAAUUUAUAAAACUCCACCUCAGUUAUAUAUCUUAUUUCUGUACAUGAAGAGGUCUACUUCUGGACUUACUGUUGCACAAAUUUUUACCUUUGCACUAAGACCACACUAUUUUAAUUAGCUUAGCUUGAUAGCAGGCCUGGUAGUUGGUAGAGCUAUUCUCUUAACCUUAUUCUUAUUCAUCAGGAGUGCCCUGGCUCUUCUUGACCCCUUGAUCUUCUAUUCAAAUAUUAUCAUAAACUAGUCAGGUUCCUCAAAAACCACUUUUGGGAGUAGGAUUGGAUUUUCCCUGAAACUCUCAUUUAAUUUAAAGAAAAUUGACAUCUUAGCAAUAUUGAUUUUUCCUAACUGAAUAUGGGCACCUCUCUGCAUUUAUUUUUUUAAUGUAUUUCAAUAAAAUUUUAUAAUUUUCUCUAUACUGGCAUUGCACAUAUUUUGUUACACUUAUUCCUGAGUACAUUAUCAUUUUUGUUUAUACUGAAAAUGGUGGGUUUAAAGUUUCGCUUUCUAUGUAUUGCUGGUGUUUAGAAAUACAACUGACUUUUGUUUUUGAUCUCAUAUCUAGUCACUUUCCUAAUAAACCUAUUUUUAUUCUAAGAAACUAUCUCUAUAUUCUUUGGAUUUUCCAUAUAAACAAUACUAUUUGUAGAUAACAGUUUUGUUUCUUCUCUUCAAAAACAUAUUCAUUUAUUUUACUUAUAUUUCAUCGACUAGAAACUUCAGUGUAAUAUUGAAAAGGAAGAGCAAUAGAAGGAAUUAUUGUCUUAUUCUUAAUUUUAAAAGGAAUAUUUCCAAAAUUUAUCAUUAAGAAUGGUGUUUGCUGUAAAGUUUUGAUAAAUACUUAUAUUGCUGAGUUAGAAAGGUAGUAAUCAUGAAUGGAUGUUUAAUUACACGAAAUGAUUUUCUGCUUUCAGUGAGAUGAGCAAAUGAUAUUUUUCCUUUAUAAAUGUGGGGAAACAUAUUCAUUGAUUUUAUGAUGUUAAAAUACCUUUAUAUUUCUGGGAUAAAUGCAACUUGAUCAUAAUGUAUUAUCAUUUUUAUACACUGCUAGAUUUGGUUUGUUAGUACUGUGUUUUUCAUUUUGGCAUUGACAUCUGUGAGUAAAAUCAGACCAUAAUUUUUUUUCACAUAUAGUCCUUAACUGUGUUUUGGUAUUAGAAUAUAAGUUGUGUAGAAUUUCCUCUUUGUCCAUUACCUAAAAGAAUUUUUAUGAAGUUAGAAUGAUCUGUUUUGCUUAAAAAUUUAAAGAAUUCAUUGAUAAAAUUGAGCUUACUAUUUUUAAUAUGGGGAGGUUUAAAAUUACUAAUCUGAAUUUCCAUUUCUUAUUGAGUCAGUUUUAAUAGGUUUUAAUUUUUCUACAAAUCUAUACAUUUUAUGUUUCAAUUUUUUUCUUAAAAAAUCAUGCAUAAUAUUAUUUUGCUUUGGCUUUGUCUUUGUGACUUAGUAAAUUCUGCCACAGGAUUAUAUGUAUUACUUGUCUAUUAAAAUAACUUUCUUCUUUCUUUCUUCUCUUCAUUAUAUGUUUUCUGUUUCAUUAAUUUAUCUUAUUUAUUAUCUUUUAUUCUAUUUUCCUUGAAUUUAUUUUACUGAUUCUUUGUGUAAAAUCUUAAGUUGAAUUACCAGCAAAUUAAUUUUCAGACUUUUUGUAUUCUAUUGUAAGUAUUAAAGGACACACACAUACCCCUUCAAAAGAUUCAAUAUUCUUCGUUUUAUGUUAAUUUUAUUAUUAGUCAGCUCUAAGUAUUUGUUAUCCAUUACCAAAUGGAUGAAGACUGUGAAAUUCAUUGCUUAAUUUAUUUCUAUCUUAAUAAUACUGAGAUCUGUAUAACAUUCUUCGAAAUAAAUAAAACUCUAGUAUUUAAAGCUUCAGAUAUAGUAGAAAAUAAUGUGUAUUCUCUGAUUGUUGGAAAUACAGUUCUAUGUGUGCCCCUGAAAUCAAGCUUGUUGAUAGGUUGUUCAAAUUCUUCAUAUUAUUAUAUUGUUUGUCUGAUGUUCUAAAAAUAAAAAUAUAGGGAGUUUGUGAAUCUGUUAAUUUUUUCUAGUAGCCAAUUUCUCCUGUAGUUCUAUCAUAUUUUGCUUCAUAUAUUUUGGUGUUUAGCUAGACCCAUACAGGUUUAGUACUGUUAUUCUUCUGGUGAAUUGAAACUCUCACUGUUUAUAAAUAUUUAUUUUAUCUUUAAAAAUGCUCUGUGUUUUAAGUUUUAUUUUAUUCAAUUUAAUACAGCUACCACAGCUUGCUUGCUUGCUCACUUGCUUUGCUUGCCUUGCUGCUUUUUCUAUGUUUAAAUUCACCAAACUGAGCAAUGGAAUCUUUCCAGCACCCCAGGAACCCCCUGGUGUUCCCUACUCAUCACUACCCCCAUACAUUCCAGAGGGUUAACAUUCACAACUUCUUUAUUUUGUUUUGUAUGUUCCUGGUUAUCUCUUUUUCCAUUCUUUUAUGAUCAGUCCCCCUAAGUUUCUAUAUUUCCCUUCAAUCCAGUCUGACAAUUUCUAUCUUUAACUUUUAGCAGUUAUAGUUAAAUUGCUAUAAUUAGGGGAUUUAUUACACCUAUAUUUAUUUAUGGUAUAAAUAACUGGUGAAUUUAAUUACAUUUAUUGUUCUUUGCAUAAGAUUAUUGUUUAUAAAUAUUUAUGUCUUUAACCUCAUAUCAUGGAAGCAGUCUUAGGACUGGCCAUAGGACUUGCUUUAGAAAAUAAUAUUUUAGCAGAUGUAACACAGCAUAAGGACUGAAUUAUGCUUGUUAUGUGUCUCUGCUGUAGCCAUUAGAAAAAUAUCCCUAGGUUAGCCAGCUGGUCCUACAAGGAGGAUGAAAGAUAUGUGGAGCAGAUCCAAACCACCUUAGCUCAGCAGAGCCCUCAGCAAACCUAAAGAUUCAUAAACACAGAUGCUUAUUGUGUUAAUCCACUGAGUUGUAGAAUGAUUUGUUACUAAUUUUGUGGCAAUAACUAAAUGAUACUUUCUUAUUCAUAUAUGUUUAUUUGUUUUUACUCUUUUGACUUGUGUGCUUCUUAUCUGUCUCACUAUUGUUUCCUUUUCCCUUAUGGAAGAAGAAAUAAUUGAAUUCUCUGUCAGUUUAUCUGUUUUUGUCUCAUUGCAAUUCUUCCUUCUGUUUGUUUAGAAAUUGUAAGUUCUAUUUCUAUUUUUGAAAGACACCCUUAAAAUUUUAUCAGGCAUAUUAAACAAAGCCUAAAGUCAGUCUUUUUUCCUAAAAACACAAGAGCUUCAUAAUAAUUUCAUUUCAAUCACUACUUCCCAAUAUACAUACUAUUUUUUUCUAGUAGGUUAGUUGUAUAUGUUUAACUCCCAAAUUGGGUAUUAUUAAAAUUAAUAUCUUAUACAGGUUAUUUUUGUCUAGAUAUCUUAAAAUAGCUCUGCUGUCUUUGCUUGCCACUUUUUCUUGCAGAUCUUCCAACUUUUUAAAAAAUAUAUAUGUUGCCUUUAUAAAUGAAGGUCUUGUAAUCAUAAAUUCUGCCAGUUUUUAUUUACAUUAAGUAUCUUUAUUUCAUUCUUGUUCUUAAAAUCUAAUUUUGAAGAGUAUAUAGUUUUUCCCAACAUAUUGAAUAUAUUAUUCUACUGUAUUUUGACAUCUAUUAUUGAGGUUGAAAAGUCUGCUGUUAGACUAUUUGCUACUCCUUUAUGGGUAAUAUGUAUUCCCUCUCUCUCUGGUUGUUAUCCAGAACUUUUCUUUGUCACUAAAAGUUUGCUAAAACUUUGCACAACAUGAAUUUAUUUUUUAUUCUGCUUGAGAUAUAUUCUGAUUCCCACAUGGGUGGACUUCUGUAUUUUAUCAAGUCUGAAAUUUUUUUUGGCCAUUGUGCCUUUAGGUAUUUCCUCAAAUAAAUGCACAUUAGUUCUUUCAUUCUACAAUGUCUCCCAUGACUCUUAAACUUUCUUUCAUAUUUUUUAUCUUCUACUUCUAUGCUACUUUUAGUGGAGCUUCUUUAGGUCUGUAUUUCAAUUCGGUCAUUCUCUCUUUAUGGCAUUAACUCUGUGGUUAACAUAUCCAUUAUGCUUUUAAUUUUGACUUGUUUUAAAUUUAGAGAUUCUAUGUGGAUGAUUUUCAAAUAUGCCUAGCCAUUUUGACAUAUUCUUGUUUCAGUAUUUUAUUUUAAAUUUGCUUUUUAAAAUUUUUAUAUAGGUAUUUAUAUUCCACAUAUGCAAAUUCUGAUAUUUGAAGUCCUUGUUGACAGUUAUCUGUUGUUUGCUGUCCUUUCAACUUUCACUCACAGUGGCUAGUUUCCUUGGGCAUUUUUACUACAAACUUGUUUUGUUGAACUUACUCUAUAGAAAUCCUAAGAUUCUAAAAUAGGAAUACUGAUCUCCAGGGAUAGGUAUGACAGCCAGAAGGUACCACUGAGCUAGGAUACUUUAUCCCACUUUGAGCAUCUUAAAUUAAUAUGAGAAUCUCAAGUUCAUCUCUUUCACCUUUCUGCUAACCCAGGGCUUAUUCUCUACUCCAAAAACUGAUAAGAGAUUUUUGACUGGAACAAUCCUAACUUUUACCUCUGGGUUUUUUUCUGUUUCAUAUUUUGUUUUAAUUUUUAAUUGACAUUUCGAGUUUUUUGAUUUGCCAUAGAGAUUUCCCUUACACCUUGAGAAGAGCAGCAAUCCACUAAAAAUUUUGUUUGUAUAAUUAUUGCAGGAUCAACGCAUUUAAAUGGUUGAGAGUUCAACUACCUAGUAACCAAUAUUGCCCCCAAAUAUUUUCACAACAUACUCUUUUUAAGGAUUCAAAACAACUUUAUGAAGGAUGGUGUAAUAUUAUCAUCAGUAUCAAAUACGAAAGCUGAGUCUUAAGUGAGUUAUUACUCUAAAGAUACAGAAUGCCAAAAGUAAACAUUUGUCAAAGCUGAAACCUUGAUGACAAAAUAAAACAAAUUUAUCCUGGAGCUUUGACCCAAAGAAUCCUUCAAUGUAACGUGACGUUCUUAUUAUAUCAAUAUUUUGUUUGUAUGAAACAAACUUUAUUACAAUAAUAUUUUAUAUUUUUUUAAAUUUGUAUAUCUACAAGCCUUAAAAACUAAAGGUUUCCUAACUUAGCAUUUACAUUUUUCUCAAAUUUUGUGAAGUUUAACCAAAUGCAUCAACAGGCGUUAGGAUUUAUGAAAGUUUAACUUUAAAAAUUAUUUUUAACUAUAACUUCACAGAGACUGAGAUAACAAAAAGAUGAUUUUUUUUUUCUGAGUAAGCCAGUGCUCAAGAGUGAAUAAUUUUGAAGCCAAAUAGGGAUUUCAGUUUCUAUAUGGAGCCUUAACCAUAACUUCCCUGGGGAAUUUUCCAAGUCUGCAAAAUAAUACCUUAAAAUAAAUACUUGCAAAUCCAUAGCACUAUUCAUGUGAGCCUAAGCAUCGUUAAGCCUUAGAUGACAUAUUCCAUCUUGCAGACAGUGAUAUAGAAACACAGAAGCAUUAAGUGACUUUGGUAAUGCCACAGAAGGUCAACUAAAGCUGAGUCAGUAACAAUAUAUCUCAGAAGUAUCUAAAAGGAGAAUCAGUUCUAGGGGAUUUUCAGGUUUAGAAGAUUCUGAAAUAUCUUAGGAGGGUAGUUCUCCACAAAAACCGUCACCAGGGUACUUGAUGGAAAUGCAAAUUCUCAGGUUCCUCUCAGACCAACUGGAACAGAAAUUCAAAAUUGUACUGUGUUUUGACAAACACUUCAUGUGACUCUAGUACACCCAAAAGUUUGAGAGCUACUGCUAUAGGCAAAGUAGAUAAGACAUGAUCUUCUUUCCAUCUCCCUGGACCAGUUGCAAGCUGCAAUAACUAUCAGAGAGGAGGUGAGAAGCAGGAAUCACAGACUGCAGUGUCCACAGAUGCUACCAGUAUGAUUCAUUAUGGAGAUUCUUUAUAGAACUAGUCCUCGACCUUGAAGUCAGGCUAGGCCAGCUGGAUGUGCUGAAUAGCAGAUUGUACACAACAAAAAAGAUCAGUGAACUUGAUGCUGGGUCAACAAAAUUCUCCAGCCUUUUAAUUCCCAAAAGAGGUUCACUUCAAAUUUUCCAAGUCCUUCCUCCAGAAACCUUCAAAUUCCUCAAAUCAAUAGCUUCCCUGCAAGGAAAACAACACCACAAAAAAUAUUCACAUUUUGGAGAUCCUGCUAUAUAGCAUUUUCUCAGAGUUUCUUCAAAUUAUAUUCCUUUAAGUUAAUUACUAGAUGGGUUUAUGAGUUAUUUAGUGAACUGGAAUGCUAUAGAAGGCACAGAAUGGGCAAGGAAUGGGGGCAGUGGGCAUAGGAUUCAUGUGUGACUCACAUUAAUUCCCAGAGAUAAGG